GCAUAUCAAUAAGCGGAGGAAAAGAAACCAACAGGGAUUGCCUCAGUAACGGCGAGUGAAGCGGCAACAGCUCAAAUUUGAAAUCUGGCUGCCUGUGCAGUCCGAGUUGUAAUUUGAAGAGGAUGCUUUUGGCAAGGUGCCUUCCGAGUUCCCUGGAAUGGGACGCCAUAGAGGGUGAGAGCCCCGUAUGGUCGGUCGCCGAGCCUCUGUAAAGCUCCUUCGACGAGUCGAGUAGUUUGGGAAUGCUGCUCAAAAUGGGAGGUAAACCCCUUCUAAAGCUAAAUACUGGCCAGAGACCGAUAGCGCACAAGUAGAGUGAUCGAAAGAUGAAAAGCACUUUGAAAAGAGAGUUAAACAGCACGUGAAAUUGUUGAAAGGGAAGCGCUUGCGACCAGACUUGUGCUCGUCGAAUCAGCCGUCGCUCGUCGGCGGCGCAUUUCGGCGGGCUCAGGCCAGCAUCAGUUCGCUGUGGGGGAGAAAGGCGGUAGGAAUGUGGCUCCUCGGAGUGUUAUAGCCUACCGUAUAAUACCCCUCGGCGGACUGAGGACCGCGCAUCUGCAAGGAUGCUGGCGUAAUGGUUGUCAGCGACCCGUCUUGAAACACGGACCAAGGAGUCGUCCUAAUAUGCGAGUGUUCGGGUGUCAAACCCCUACGCGUAAUGAAAGUGAACGGAGGUGAGAGCUUCGGCGCAUCAUCGACCGAUCCUGAUGUUCUCGGAUGGAUUUGAGUAUGAGCAUAUUGGGCCGGACCCGAAAGAAGGUGAACUAUGCCUGUAUAGGGUAAAGCCAGAGGAAACUAUGGUGGAGGCUCGCAGCGGUUCUGACGUGCAAAUCGAUCGUCAAAUAUGGGCAUGGGGGGCGAAAGACUAAUCGAACCUUCUAGUAGCUGGUUUCCGCCGAAG
rnacentral:rRNA from 1 species